rnacentral:rRNA from 1 species
UUGAAGGGUUUGAUCCUGGCUCAGAACGAACGUUAGCGGUGUGGAUUAGGCAUGCAAGUCGAGCGAGAAAGCCUUCGGGUGAGUACCGCGGCGCAAGGGUGAGUAACACGUAAUCAACCUACCCCCCAGACUGGAAUAAUCGCGGGAAACUGCGGGUAAUGCCAGAUGGUUUCAGCAGUUGGCAUCAACUGCUGAUUAAACGGCGGCUUCGGCUGCUGCUGGGGGAGGGGGUUGCGGCCUAUCAGCUUGUUGGUGGGGUAAUGGCCUACCAAGGCAAUGACGGGUAGCCGGUCUGAGAGGAUGGUCGGUCACACUGGGACUGAGACACUGCCCAGACUCCUACGGGAGGCUGCAGUCGAGAAUCUUCCGCAAUGGGCGAAAGCCUGACGGAGCGACACCGCGUGCAGGAUGAAGGCCUUAGGGUUGUAAACUGCUGUCACGCCAUAGGAAUGGCGCGUUAUUAAUAGUUGCGCGUUUGACUAAAGCGAAAGGAAGCACCGGCUAACUCCGUGCCAGCAGCCGCGGUAAGACGGAGGGUGCAAACGUUGUUCGGAAUCACUGGGCAUAAAGCGCAUGCAGGCGGCCAUCUAAGUCAGGUGUGAAAUCCCACGGCUCAACCGUGGAACGGCAUUUGAAACUGGAUGGCUAGAGUACGGUUGGGGUGAGUGGAACUCCUGGUGGAGCGGUGAAAUGCGUAGAUAUCAGGAGGAACACCAGUGGCGAAAGCGGCUCACUGGACCGUAACUGACGCUGAGGUGCGAAAGCUAGGGUAGCGAACGGGAUUAGAUACCCCGGUAGUCCUAGCCGUAAACGAUGCGUACUAGGUAGGGGGGGCUCCUAUGGUCUUCUCUACCGGAGCAAAUGUGUUAAGUACGCCGCCUGGGGAGUACGCUCGCAAGAGUAAAACUCAAAGGAAUUGACGGGGGAUCACACAAGCGGUGGAGCAUGUGGUUUAAUUCGAAGCAACGCGAAGAACCUUACCUGGCCUUGACAUG